rnacentral:rRNA from 1 species
CCUACGGGUGACUGCAGUGAGGAAUAUUGGUCAAUGGGCGCUAGCCUGAACCAGCCAAGUAGCGUGAAGGAUGACUGCCCUAUGGGUUGUAAACUUCUUUUAUAUGGGAAUAAAGUGCAGUAUGUAUACUGCUUUGCAUGUACCUUAUGAAUAAGGAUCGGCUAACUCCGUGCCAGCAGCCGCGGUAAUACGGAGGAUCCGAGCGUUAUCCGGAUUUAUUGGGUUUAAAGGGAGCGUAGGCGGGUUGUUAAGUCAGUUGUGAAAGUUUGCGGCUCAACCGUAAAAUUGCAGUUGAUACUGGCAGCCUUGAGUACAGUAGAGGUAGGCGGAAUGCGUGGUGUAGCGGUGAAAUGCUUAGAUAUCACGAAGAACUCCGAUUGCGAAGGCAGCCUGCUGGACUGUAACUGACGCUGAUGCUCGAAAGUGCGGGUAUCAAACAGGAUUAGAUACCCGAGUAGUC